CACGUAGGGGGCGAGCGUUGUCCGGAUUUAUUGGGCGUAAAGAGCUCGUAGGCGGCUCGGUAAGUCAGGUGUGAAACCUCCAGGCUCAACCUGGAGACGCCACCUGAUACUGCCGUGGCUAGAGUCCGGUAGAGGAGCGUAGAAUUCCUGGUGUAGCGGUGAAAUGCGCAGAUAUCAGGAGGAACACCAAUGGCGAAGGCGGCUUGCUGGGCCUUACCUGACGCUGAGGAGCGAAAGCGUGGGGAGCGAACAGG
rnacentral:rRNA from 1 species